rnacentral:lncRNA from 1 species
CAAAAUGCAAAUGUUACGUGAAACGAAGAGAGAGACUGUGGAGUAUCAAAAAGAAGCAAAUAAAAAGAUGCAUGUCUCCGGGCAGAAUAUGAGUUUGAGAGAAAUUCUUAAGUAA